rnacentral:rRNA from 1 species
UACGUAGGGCGCAAGCGUUAUCCGGAAUUAUUGGGCGUAAAGAGCUCGUAGGCGGUUUGUCGCGUCUGCCGUGAAAGUCCGGGGCUCAACUCCGGAUCUGCGGUGGGUACGGGCAGACUAGAGUGAUGUAGGGGAGACUGGAAUUCCUGGUGUAGCGGUGAAAUGCGCAGAUAUCAGGAGGAACACCGGUGGCGAAGGCGGGUCUCUGGGCCAUAACUGACGCUGAGGAGCGAAAGCAUGGGGAGCGAACAGG